GGGAUUGCCCUACUAACGGCGAGUGAAGCGGCAACAGCUCAAAUUUGAAAUCUGGCGUCUUUGGCGUCCGAGUUGUAAUUUGCAGAGGGCGCUUUGGCAUUGGCAGCGGUCCAAGUUCCUUGGAACAGGACGUCACAGAGGGUGAGAAUCCCGUACGUGGUCGCUAGCCUUUACCGUGUAAAGCCCCUUCGACGAGUCGAGUUGUUUGGGAAUGCAGCUCUAAAUGGGAGGUAAAUUUCUUCUAAAGCUAAAUACUGGCCAGAGACCGAUAGCGCACAAGUAGAGUGAUCGAAAGAUGAAAAGCACUUUGGAAAGAGAGUUAAAAAGCACGUGAAAUUGUUGAAAGGGAAGCGCUUGCAGCCAGACUUGCCUGUAGUUGCUCAUCCGGGUUUCUACCCGGUGCACUCUUCUAUAGGCAGGCCAGCAUCAGUUUGGGCGGUUGGAUAAAGGUCUCUGUCAUGUACCUCCUUUCGGGGAGAACUUAUAGGGGAGACGACAUGCAACCAGCCUGGACUGAGGUCCGCGCAUCUGCUAGGAUGCUGGCGUAAUGGCUGUAAGCGGCCCGUCUUGAAACACGGACCAAGGAGUCUAACAUCUAUGCGAGUGUUUGGGUGUCAAGCCCGAGCGCGUAAUGAAAGUGAACGGAGGUGGGAACCUUUCGGGGUGCACCAUCGACCGAUCCUGAUGUCUUCGGAUGGAUUUGAGUAAGAGCAUAGCUGUUGGGACCCGAAAGAUGGUGAACUAUGCUUGAAUAGGGUGAAGCCAGAGGAAACUCUGGUGGAGGCUCGCAGCGGUUCUGACGUGCAAAUCGAUCGUCAAAUUUGGGCAUAGGGGCGAAAGACUAAUCGAACUAUCUAGUAGCUGG
rnacentral:rRNA from 1 species